GGCCUGAGGUGGAGUGGAGUGUGGAAGAAUGAAGGAUAGAAAACAAUGACAGAUGGCCAGGUGGGCAUGGAAGCCUCUUAGGAGAUCAGGGAAGGCUGAAGAGAAGGGCUGUGUGAGAGAGAUACUCCCAUUUCACCCAUUUCAGAGGGGAAACAAUUGGAACCGGUUUUAGGGGGUGGAGACAGAAGCCUCUGCCACUACAUCCUGGACCCAAGCUUCAGCCCUGGUCCCUCCUCCUUUCCUCUGGGCAGCUGAGAUCAUUCAACUAAGGACAGGGCUUGGGCUGCACCAUGGCUUCUACCCUCUCCUCCUUGCUCUGUCUUGUGCUAUGUCUGAGCCAGAGGAUCCGAGCACAGGAGGGUGAACUGGAUAUACCUCUAAGAAUAGUAUCAAGAACCACUCUCAUCACCCUUGGCUGUAUCAUCAUUCUGUUCUUCCUCUUUUUACUGGCCUUCUUCUGUCAUCAACACCCUUGUAUUGCAUCCCCAGCUGAUGGCAUCUUCCUUAAUGUGUCUGGCUCCCCUCAAACAUGUAGUACUGGAGGAGGAGAUCAUGAGUAUAGACAUGGCCAAGAAGAGAUUGACCCAUCAAAUUCAGGGGCUGAAGACCAAGAAGGAGUGAUCUACAGCCAGUUGAACAUUGAGACCCAGGGUAAGGGGAAGACAACCGCCUACGAAACACGCAAACAGACUAUAUAUAGCACUCUAGCUUGGCACUAA
rnacentral:lncRNA from 1 species